GAAACCUUUAAUUAGAUCCAGAGAGGUCUAUAAGGUUGCCCUGAAAAUACGUAUGCUUAAGCUACGUAUACCUCUUUGCAGCCUUAUGCAAGGAGGUUUUUUUAU
rfam:Virgibacillus sp. SK37, complete genome.